GAGCACAAACAUAUUCCAAUCUCUACUUUUUCUCUAAAAAAAACUUUCUCCUCCUCUUCUCUUCCUAAAUCUCAUAUCUUGAGUAUAUAUUAGUUCUGUGAUAUUUCGGAUUCUGCUCAGCAUAAAUGUUCUGUCCUGUUCGUUAUUUUGCUCCUGGGUGCUAUCUUUUAUGUGGGAGCCAGUACCUCUCCAAUUAUAGUGUUUGUCAUCUCUGUUUGCAUUCUCAGCUUCCUUGUUUCCAUUUAUCUUACAAAGUGGGUGCUCGCAAAAGAUGAGGGACCUCCUGAAAUGGUUCAGGUAAAUCUAUUUCCUAUAAUUAGUGCAAUCUCUAACUUGUUGUCCAUCUCCUCUAAGCAUUCUUAAAAUCAGCAAUUUGGUUUUAGGAGAUCGAUAUACAAUAGGGGUUUUCUCAAUAAUCUACUAUUUCUCUGUGGUUGAAAGACGAGUUUAUUGCUUUUGAGUCCUAUGAAAGAGGAUCAGGUUGAUUACCGUUGUCAAAAUCAUCCAUACUACGAAUUCCUUUUAAAGUUUGGGUGGUUCUCAUCUUACUACUCAGUUAUGUGGAAUUCAGCUAGGUCCUAAACACAAAUUCUAAGAUGGUAUUUAAACCCAAUAUUGGACCACCUGCAUUUGUUUGUGCUCUAGACAUAUAUUCCUAAGCAUAAGGGUGUAUGGUCAUUGGGCUACCUACAUAUGUCCGUGCUACAGAUGUCCAGUGUUGGCACCAAAGGGUGUGUUGAGAUCUCACUCUGGCCCGAGAUAUGACCAAUGUGAGCCCAAAUUCUAAGAUCCGAGUUACAUAUGAGAGGUUGAGAUGAAAUGAUAUUGCCACGUCGUUUGUACCCUUUCAUACUGGUGGGGAUAUUUUACCGGAAGUUUAUAUUGUAUCAGUCUACCCAGUUUGUGAUUCUUGUUGAAAAAUAUACUCCUCGGGGAAAGCAUUUGUAUGUGUUUGUGUGUGAAAUAGCACUUUUUGGUGACUAUUGUUUCACUUUUAUAAGGUUAGAUUGUUAAUUUGAUUUGGAUUGGAGGGCAUGACGUAGAGUAGCACGUAUAGAGUAGUAAUGAUUAAAGCUUGCCUAUUUUCUCUCUUUUUGUUGAACCAGUUUUUUCAAUUGACAAAAGUCUGAGUGUUUAAGUUAUUAUACAUCUUAGUGCCUUUUAUGAUGAUUGAUUGACAGUUGGAUCGCAUCACUAUGAACCCUUGUUUUCUUGUCCUGAGCUUAUCAUAUUGCUUUCUAGAUAGCAGAUGCUAUACGAGAUGGAGCUGAAGGAUUUUUCAAGACCCAGUAUGGUAGUGUAUCGAUGGCCAUAUUGCUUGCUGUUGUUAUUCUAUGCAUAUAUUUGUUUGGUGGCAGUACAACUCCUCAACAGGAAUCUUCUGGCCUGGGGAGGUAAUGUCAUAAAGUAUUUAUGCUGUGAAUACUUUUAGUACUGUUUACUUGUUCUUAUCUGUCAUAGUCAUCCUAUUUCAGGUCAACUUCUGCAUACAUCAUUGUAGCUUCUUUCCUUUUAGGUGCUCUUUGUUCGGGUAUUGCUGGAUAUGCAGGGAUGUGGGUGUCAGUUCGUGCCAAUGUCAGAGUUUCUAGUGCUGCAAGAGAAGCAUUGCAGGUUAAACCAUCAUUACUUCAUUAUCAGUUUCUGUGUAAACUAUGAACAGUUCACUAUUCGUGUUUUAACUUGAAGGAAUUUGUACAGGUAGCUACUCGUGCAGGUGGUUUAUCUGCCCUCAUUGUUGUCGGUAUGGCUGCAAUUGGUAUAGCAGUCCUUUAUGCCACAUUUUAUGUUUGGUUAGGAGUGGACUCACCUGGUUCAAUGAAGGUUACUGAUUGUAAGUGUAGACUUCUCCCCUAACCUGUCAUCAUAGAAAAUUUUAUAAAAUUUGAAAUUUCAACAUUGUUAUUAUUCAACAUACAUAGUGCUCUUUAUGUUUCAUCAAUAUCUUUUCAAGCUAGUUUUCUAUGUUUAUAAUUUGGGGAGUUUUUAUGUUCAUUUGUAAACUGAAAAUAAAAAAGAGAGCCAAGUGGUGAACUUUGGGAGGUUUGAUUGAGGUCAUAAAUGGUUCCUUAUAUAAUUUCUCAUUAAAUGUUCCCACUUGACUUAAAUUGAGCCAACGGCCAAUAAUUAAAUUGACUGAAAUAAAUUUUAGCUUAUAUUCCAACAAUUAUUAAGGUUUAUUGAUAGUCUGUCUAACUAUGGGAUGAUUCAAUCUUUUUUCCAUUAUCUCACCUAUUCUCUCUCUAAUUGUGUUUAUUUUUGAACAUUUUUGUUUUCCCUCUCAGUACCUCUACUUCUAGUUGGAUAUGGAUUUGGUGCCUCUGUUGCUCUAUUUGCUCAGUUAGGUGGUGGAAUAUACACGAAAGCAGCUGAUGUUGGAGUAGACCUAGUUGGAAAAGUAGAACAGGGAAUACCUGAAGAUGACCCUAGAAAUCCUGCUGUUAUUAUUACUGAUCUGGUAAUUGUUUUUUUGUUUUUGUUUAAUUUGUUUGGAUGAGUCUAUGCAUUAAAAUUUAUUGGUUGCUUAAUUUGGUUAAUACUUGUUCAGGACGAAGUGGAAGCUGAUGUGAGGAGGUUGAGGCUGGAGUUAAAGCAAACAAUGGAAAUGUACAGUAGUGCAUGCAAAGAGGCCCUAACAGCGAAGCAGAAGGUAAGUGCAUACGGUAAUGGUAAUAUUUAGAUUAGGGGAGGGUGGAAAUGAAAAGGAAACAGAGAGAAUAACGCUGUAUGGUACAGUUACUGGAACUGCACAACCGGAGAAUUAAGGAAGAAAAGAAACUAGAUUUUGUUGCUUUAGUUGCUCAGUUGGGUUGUGGAAUAUACACAAAAGCAGCUGAUGUUGGAGUAGACCAUGUUGGAAAAGUAGAUCAGGGAAUACCCUAGAAAUCCUGCUGUUAUUGCUGAUCUGGUAAUUGUUUUUGUUUUCGUUUAAUUUGUUUCGAUGAGUCUAUUAUGUAUGCAUUAAAAUUUGUUGGUUGUUUAAUUUGGUUAAUUGUUCAGGACGAAGUGGAAGCUGAUGUGAGGAGGUUGAGGCUAGAGUUAAAGCAAACAAUGGAAAUGUACAGUAAUGCAUGCAAAGAGGCCCUAACAGCGAAGCAUAUGCUAAGUGCAUACGGUAAUGAUGUUAUUUAGAUCAGGGGAGGGUGGAGUGAAAAGGAAAUAGAGAGAAGAACAUUAGUUAAAUAAGAAAUUACGCCUUUCUGUAUCAUCUUUUCGAUUUCACAACCUCAUGUCUCAAGGUUAUGAAAAACACCCAAACUUGGUUUGGUUUUAAAUAUGUAAUUUAAGUAAAGAAUGUUAACUUAUCAUUAAAAAACUAAGGUACACAACUCAAUUUAAUCCUUCUCUCUCUUUUUUCCUAUUUUUGUCAUAAUUCCUGUUUUGAACUUACCUUCUUUUUUCUGAUGGUUUAUAAAUUCUUUAGAGUAAGUUGUUAUUUCUUUAAUUUUUAUUACUUUUUAUUUUAUUAUUUUGGUUGAUUUAGUGAUAUUUCAUUAUGUUCCAGAAGCCUUGGGUGGAUUUUCAAGUCCUUUUUACUUAUGGAUGCUCAGGUUUUUAGAGAUAGAGUUUUGAAAUGAACGAGAUAGGUUUUUAUUUUUCUUUUGAAUGAUGUUUGUAUAUUAAUGCUUGACAGUUUGUCUUUCUUGUGUAGUUUAUAUUUCAUAAAUGAGCAGAAGACAUUUCCAGCUCAAGAGACAAUCUGAGGAAGUGUUUAUUGCAGAUUAUAUUUCGAUAUAUAUUUUCUUAUAUAAAACUUUCUUUUGUAAACUCUUUGCUGGAUAUAUAUGUGUGUAAAUAAUGAAAUACAAUUUAUAUUUUAUAUCAAUUUAUAAAUUGUUUUUAUAUCAAUUUAGUAGUAUUUAUUUAUAUUCUUAGUAGUAUUUAUAAAUUGUAAAUAAUUGAUUUAUCAAAAUAAAGUUAUCUAACAGAAAACAUUUAUAACAAAUUAUAAACAUAAAAUUUUCAGUCUAAACAAAGGAUGCUUUAGGUUCUAUUGGUGUUUGAAACAAUUUUGUCUUCUCAAUGUUAUUAUAUCUCUAGAGUUGAAUCACUUGCUGUCGUUACUCUUCAGUUUUCUAUUUAAUCAAUUUAAUUAAUCAUUUUUUUACAACCUAACUAAAUUGUAUAUUUAACAGAAAAAGUUCAUUUUUUUUUACAACAUAACAUUUACCUUUUUCUUUUUGUGAUCCAAAACAUUUUUUUUGGCUCGAGACUUUUUUCAUACACUAAGAAGACGUCAAAAAGAAAAUGUAUUCACAUAAACAAUUAAAUUAACAUAGUUCAAUUUAACCUGGUCAAUCACAUAUAAAACAUGGUCCUCACAAAGUGUAAAAAUCCAAUAAAUAACAUAGUUUUCUUUUGGUAAAAUACUUUUUUUUUCUCCAGUUUUGGUCGGUAAUAUUCGAAAUGCUUUCCAUUUGUUUUUUCUGAUCACUUUAGUUCUAAAAAACGUAAUUUGUAUUUAAUUUAGUCAUUUUUAUUUGUAUUCAAUUUAGUCAUUUUUCUGUUCACGUAAUUUAUGUUCAAUUUAAUCCUUGUUUGGUUCACGGAGUUUGUAAAAAAAACUAAAUUAAACAAAAAUUACGUAAAAAGAACUAAAUUGAACACAAAUUACGUUCUUUAUCACAUUGAACAAAAAAGUAAAAUGGAGACCAUUCCGAAUAUUCUAAACCAAAACUGGGACAAAAAAGGUAUUAUACCUUUCCUUUUUACAAAACAAUUUUAUUUUUUUUAAAAAGUUACAACAAAACCUAACAUAUUAUAGUACCAUAUAAAUUUCUCCAAAUAAUUAAUUUUAAGCUUAUUACAUAUUCUGCAAAUAUUUUUUCUCCAGAUAAUUUUCCUUUAAAACUACGUGUAUUUUUUCUGUUAACCAUGUUUAAAUAUUUUUUUUUUCUACUUGUCUAUAUAUACUUGACAUAAACAUUAAGGUGUCACUAGUGCAAAAACAACGUAUCGUGUUUAAUGUCGAAUCACUCAGCCAACAUUAAAAAUGUUUAAAAAUGAUUGGUGACAUUUUUGUAAAUAAAUACAAUUAUUAAACGUAGUUUAGAAUUGUAAUUCGACGUAAAAGAUAUAAAACGUCCGAGCGUUAAAAUUUAUUGAAUUAAAAAAAAUUGAGCGCUGAUAAUGACAUAUUCUGCUAUGAUUUCAGUAGUGAAUUGAGAGAAAAUGUCAACUCUUUCUUAGCUUUAUACCUUCCUUAUGCCUCAAUUUGUUAAGUUUCUAAGUAGCUACAUCUUUAGUUGAAUUCAUUUAAAUUGCUCCACUAAUCCCCACUUUUUGGUUGUUAGAUCAUGUACAUGAAGCUUGUUGGCCAAACCGACGAAUGGAAGAACCACAGAAGCAAGAAUGAUUGUAAAAGAGGAAAUUUUGAGCAAAGAUUGAUGCUGCCGCUGGGGUGCAGCUGGGGUGUAGCUGAGCCCCAUUCUCCUCUGGAAUGCUGUAGCUGGGGUGCAGCUGAGCGCCCUGCUCUCUGGAAGGCUGUCGCUGGGGUGCAGCUGAGCGCCCUGCUCUCUGGAAGGCUGUCGCUGAGGUGCAGCUGGGGUGCAGCUGAGCGCCCNGCUCUCUGGAAGGCUGNNGCUGAGGUGCAGCUGGGGUGCAGCUGAGCGCCCAGCUCUCUGGAAGGCUGCAGCUGGGGUACAGCUGAGCGGUGGCAAUGCUGAUGUGGAAAAAUUAGGUCUUUUUAGACCUAAAACGCGAGGGGCUUUGGAUCUUUUUGCACCCAGACUCGUUUUCUCUCAUUUUGGAGCUCUUGGAGGCAGCUUGGAGCUGGGGAACACUCCUUCUUCAUCCUUGGGUCUCCUUUCUUCUUCCGUUUCCACCAUUGUUGUAAGCUCAAGCUCUCCAUUCAUGGAGAGCUAGUUUCAUAGUUGUUGGGGGAUUGUUGUAGCCACUGAACUUUUAUGUAAAUCAUUUUGUUUUGAAUGAAAAGAUGCCUCUUUCAUUGAUUGUUAGUGUUUGAUUUCUUCUCUUUAAUGCUUGUUGUGAAAUUGCUACUCAUAACUUGAUUUUAGGGUUGCUUAAUAUUGGAAAAUGUUGGGUAAAUCCGGAUUUGGGUUAAACACCUAAAGGAAAUAGUAUCUAGGGAUAGAACUAGGCCCUUUGGUUGUCUUAAAAUCUCAUUUCUUAAUGCGGAACUAAUUGUUAGGUUUUCCAAGGGAUUGGAGCUUAAUAAGGAAGUCUAGGCUCUUUCUACCAAAGGAUUGGGGUUUGAGUAAUUUAGUAGAUUGACUUUGACAAUUUAAUGAAGAGGAAGUAAUUUUAUUUACAUAAGAGUGAAGUCGGUGAAAGCAUACCCCCAACAAUAUCAUUCCAUUGCAUUUCUUAUCUCUCCAUUUCAAAGUGUUUGAGUGCUCACUUUUAUCAUUUAUGUUUUAUAGUUACUUUAAUUUCACUAAAACUCAAAUCAUGGAAACAUUCUUUAGUCUAGGUUAGUUAUAAAUUAUACGAUUGUCUAGUUUCACGAGUCUCUUGGGAAACGAUUUCCGGUCUUACCGGUUUAUUACUUUAGACGAUUUGGUACACUUGCCAAAGAGUUAACAAGCGCGAGAUUGAAAAUUCAUUCACUUUAUCUUAGCGCGCGAAACCCUUUUCUUUGCUCAAACGUUUUUCGAAUGAAGUUUAACAAUCAUCACAUGUAAUCUUUCUUUCAUUUUAUACAAAUGCAUGUCAAUUAAUCACUUUAGGUAUGAUUUUCGUUUGUUUUCACUAACUAUUCUCGUGUUCUUGUCCUUCAUAGGUGCAUUAUGCUCACUCUCUCAUUGGAGGCAACACUUUAUUCUGAUGAACUCACCUUUUAAAGGUUAGUUUUCGUUUACGUUUUGAAGAACUUAUUUGUUGAUAACUUGUUUGUUAUUUUUUUGUUGAACUUUUUUGUUGUUGUUGUUGUUUGGUUGAACUUGUUUGUUGUUAUUAUUUGAUUAAACUUCUUUGUUGUUUGCUAUUGUUCUUUGAUUGAUUUUAUAUUAUUGUUCAUAGUUCAUGCUUUAUAAAAUACUAAAAACUGAAAUUGGUUGUUUUUCUGCUUUUCAGGUCUCGUAGAGUUGUAAAAAGGAUCACAGUUAAUUGAAAAAAAUGAUUAACGUCUUAUAUUGACAAAAUUCGACAUUAAAUUAACGUCGAAUUUUAUUCGACGUAAAAUUAUCAUCUCCUGAUAUGACGUUGUUCUCGAAUUCGACGUGAACGACAAAAAAUAUUCGAUGUUAACGUUGUUUUUGUACUAGUGUGUUCAUUUCAAAUAAGAAAACAAAAACAAUAAACAUACACAAAUAGAAAAAGGUAAGUUAAUGUACCAACAUUUUAUAAUCUAACACAUUCAUAAUGUACAAGUUUAUCAACUAUGUUUGUUAAAAAUAUCACAAAUUCAUAUGUCCACACAAACAGUUGACACCAACUCAAUUUGGAUACAUGUCUUUAACAUAGGGUUUCAACGUAGGCAUCCACUUGUAGUGGUAUUUAUACUCUACAGAGUCAUAAACAAAGGGGUUGUUACCUUACAACCUACAAGCUUAGUCUCCUUUAUUACCUUACAACCUUUCUACUUAUAUGCUUAAACUUUUAAUAUUAAAAUAUGCGGCUCAUUAUUUAAAAAACCCUAUUAUUUCUAAUACAUUUUUUCUAUACUCUUACACUUACUUUGUAUAUUCUUUUUCAUAAUAUUUCUCUAAAUAUAUUUCAUAAUUUCAUAUAUAAUAAAGUCAAAUCAUGAUAAUAUAUAUAUAUAUAUAUAUAUAUAUAUAUAUAUAUAUAUAUAUAUAUAUAUAUAUAUAUAUAUAUAUGAUUACAUCGUAAUGGUCGAACAAAUAUCUAAUCAAAGAAUAUUACCAUUAAUUAACUAUUUAUAUUUAAAAAUAAAAUUAUAUAUUUUUCUUAAUUUAUUUAACAUCAUUAUUUUUAUUCUUUUGAAAUUCUAAAUAAUAUUUUUCUUAAAAUUGGACGAAAGUAAUAAAUGAACAACAAAUGAAUAGCAUAUAUGCGAAGCGUGAUUGUUUAUAUAAUUCUAAUGGAUAUGAUGAAAUACCACUAAAAAACUGUUUUUUAAUAGAAUAUUUAUUUUUAUUACAGAAACACUUGUGUCUUGACUUUUGAUAAUGAGUUGGUAUUUAUUAAUAUAAGCAUGGCAAAAGUUGAAAAUGCCAAAGGACACUCUUUCCGUUUUCAUUAAGUACAGUUUAAGAAUAUAAAUAUAAAAAAUGAAACAAUUAAUAUUAGUUUUGAAUUUUAAAAAUAAGAUUUAAAUAGAUAUAAAAAUGGCUAAAUUAUGGUAGUGUGUAUUAAUUAUUGAUAUUAAUAAUAUUCAUUAGUAGUUAGAGGGAAGGGAAUCACAUGAGUAAGUAGCCAAUUAGAAUGCAGUUAAGACGAGAUGUCGCAAUGCUAUUGGAUGUCUCUGACAUGUUAAGAAGAGAGUGUCUUAUAUAUGUAAAUUAAGAAAUGUAAGAAUGAAGAGAAGAAGGACGAACGUGAAAUAGAAAUAGUUAGUAUAGUAUUAUAUUUUAUUUGAUUUUGAUUUAAUUUAAUUGAUUCAUUGUGUAGUGUGUUUUCUCUCACAUGCAUUUCUCCUUCAGACAAAGGUAAAGAGGAAGAAAUUCCGCUCGGUGGCUGUGACAGCAAUUGCGACUAAUUCUUCACCACAAACAAUUCGUAAGCAUUAUCAGAUCUGCGAUUUCAAUUUACGAUUUCACUCAGAUCCCAUUCCAGACGACGAUGCGGAUCUAUUAUAAUUCAAUGCCAAAUCGAAUCCAAGCAUAAGCAUUUGGAUGGGAUCUAUAUCCAUCUUUGUUAGUUAGUUAGGCACUGAUGCAGUAUCAUUUGCUGCAUUAUUCAUUCAAAUGUAUGAUAAAUAAUUUUUUGUCAUUAAUUUUGGGCAGUCUCAGCACUAACUCCUGUUGCGGCUGCGGAGAGGAGCGAGAAGGAAGGCGUUGCAGUUUGAUUCCCUAAAGAAGCGUAAAUUGUUGUCUGGGUGUUUGAAAAGACAAUUCAAAAUUCAGCGACCGGGUUCAGGGGCUGACUUGCCCCAACUAGGUGGUGAGUACAACCCUUAUUCUGUAGCGCGGAGGGUGAGUUCCACCCAUUCCAUAAUGAUGGAAAAUGACAUGGAGAGCGGUACUUUGGGUCUGGGGGCUUACCCGGACAAGCCCAGAGUUUUCCCAAACAUGCGCACCAAACCUUACACCCCUCUGGUUCGUUCCUAAACUAUAACAAUAUAACAAAAUGCUCACUUCUUCAUUAUAUAUCUAUCUGUAUAUCUCGAGAUCAUUCCCCUUCCCCUGAACGUUCUUCAACUUAUCAAAUGUCCACUCCUGUUUUACACUUUUCUGUAGAUAUUUCGGAUUCUGCUCAGUAUAAAUGUUCGUGUCCUGUUCGUUAUUUUGCUCCUUGGGCUGGGUGCUAUCUUUUACGUGGGAGCCAGUACCUCUCCAAUUAUAGUGUUUGUCAUCUCUGUUUGCAUUCUCAGCUUCCUUGUUGCCAUUUAUCUUACAAAGUGGGUGCUCGCAAAAGAUGAGGGACCUCCUGAAAUGGUUCAG
rnacentral:lncRNA from 1 species